rnacentral:lncRNA from 1 species
GGAAAUUCACGAUUUAAUAAAUACUGAGAUUCAUGAAGAAUCCAUUGAGCCCGAGACUCAGGAAGAUAAGGAACUAUCAAUAAAUCCAAUCGAUAUUGAGACAAAUUUUAAUCGAGUGGAUAUAGUGGUGGAUUAUGUCUUUGCAUAUAAUGUUGCAUCUAGCAUUAUGCAAGAAAGUGAGGAUCUUGAACCUCAAUCUG